CGACAUUCCAUACACGAAUGCCCUUUUGUCUUGACGCAAAGAUCCGGUGUGUCCAGGUCGUGGGAACCGGAAUCCUCCCUAAGACCCGCGCCCUGUGUUAGGGUUGGAGCACGAGACAGCUCCCGUAGAAUGCGGGGGAAAAGCGGAGUGCUGUCAGCGGCUCGAUGCUGACAGCAAAGAGGAGAACGCUGGCUCUGGAGGACAUUUCUUCUAGAUCUGAUUGCUCCAGACGACUUCCAGGAAGUCGGCUUUGCCGGGGUGGCAUAUCGGUGUCUCCCUCCGCCAGGAAACAGACACCGUCACUUUAGUUCCGAGAUCAGCGAGGUCCUGUUGGUACUAGGUGUGUUCCACCGCUCUGAAAUUGAUGGGUGUGGCCGCUGGAGAGACCUCGGGCGCGAUCCGCACCGUUAUCUUGGCAAACCGGAGCCAGUCGGAGGAGGGAAGGGUAUAGCUUGUAGUGUUUUAAAGCUGGAUGCAUGUGUGCGCGUGCUUGUAGGACCGCUUGGGAGUCUAAUGUUCGUGGCCGCUGGUUUCCUCUCCAUCUCUCUAAUGUCCCUUCGUGUAAAAGGGAGGAGUUCUCUCAGCUGAGAAUUGCUUCAUUACAGCUGCCACAGUUCUUUCACUUUACAGAGAACGAGGCUCUUUUGAAGAAUGUCUUUUAAUGUGGAUUUAACCCCUGAAAGCAUCAAAGGAAGAUGCUAGUGUGGUAGUAGGAGCAAAUGUGACUCCAUUUUGUUUUAUGACUUCAUCCUGUAAAACAACCAUGCCAAGUAGAAGAGUCAUGACUGGGGCAAGUUGUUCUUUUUCUUUUGCUAUAGAAACCUUUAAGAACACGGAACUACCUAAUGGGGCAUUGUUUCUGUAACUAGGGUAACGGGGUUCUGUUUCUGUAACUGGGGUGUCUGGGCUAACUGUGGUUAGGCUUCCCUCCACUUGACUGCACUGUCCCGCUUCUGUAACCUGGCUGGCUUGCAUUGACUAGACCCCCUGAACAUCUCUUUUGCGUUUUCAGGCUUUUAAGGAGUGCCCUUUCAAUUGUUCGAGUCUGAUCAGGGGAACAGCUUUAUGUUCUGGUCAGCUGCCACCUGUGCGCUUCAAUAAAGGCUUGAUUCGAUUAUACGUGAGUGGUCUGGAAGUCAGUUUAUGAAACCCUGGGAGGAAGCUUUAACUAUAACAUCUGGGGGCUCCCCCGGGAUCCAUUUCUUCCCUACCGUCACGCCAAAUUUGCCUCCAAAGACGGGCCUUUGGACCUCGACCCCAGAGUAGAGGGGAGCUCCUGAGAGACAUUCCUCAGCCUCACUCUGAGGAGGACUCCAAUCCAUCCUAGGACGCUCUGAAAAGCCUCCUGCUGGCCUGUCAGUUCUGAUCGAAACCAUUUCCUCACAUGUGCUUGACAAGUGCACUAACAUUGAGCUGCAACCCCAGCCCUGAAAGUCUUGCAUAAACACUGGCAACUUUGGAUUCUGCACAUUUCCAGGAGAGAAACUCAGAGAAAAGAUGUGUACUGACAAUUUAAAAAACUAUGCCACAUCCUUUCCAGUUGCUGGGAUUACAGGUGUGCACCACCCUGCCUAACUUCAAGUCAAUAGUUAUUGGUAUCCCCAUUCUACGGUUAUAAAAGUGCUCUGUCAGAAAAUUUGGAUCCAGUAGAUACUGAAUGCCCUGUCAGGCAAUCUGGGAAUACUGGUUGGAAAAAAAAAAAGAGGGACAUCUAGGGAAGGCAUGGGACUGUCUGACAACCAUCAUUUACCACCUUGGAAUGAAUCAGGUAAUUAGUUUAAGGACCUGUGAUAAAAAUGUUCAUAUGCUUUGAAAUAAAUGAUUACAUUUUGGAAACAAUUUGAGUCAAAUGGGUUAUGACUUUAAAUUCCAAGAGUUGACCAAUCCUCCUCUGGAUUAUUCUCUUGGUAAAGCAGCCAUGAGAACAGAGCUAGAGGAAAAGAAUGGAGAAAUGAGAAAGGCCAUUUUCUUCCUUGCAGGAAGGUUAGAGGAAGUCUGGGAAAAUCCUGGCCCUAUUCCAACUAGAGAGAUUUUACUUAAGCACUAUGGAGUUUCAAUCUAAUUAAAAUUGCCAAAAUCAUUACAUCAAUCUAGGUAUGAGAUAACAUCAUUUUAAUUUUUUGCAAGUGUUCUCUACAAUUAUACAAACCCAAGAUCAUCUCAAGGGCAACUGAAUUUUCCAAUUGGGAGUGCACUGUACCUGCCCACAGCAGUCCUAUAUACUUCCAUGACAGUAACUUUUAUUUCCUCCAUGUCCAACAAAGUUUAUUGCACCUACCAACUGAUUUUCAUCCAAAACAUCCAAGAGGGGCCAUAAAUCUAAAGGUAAGAUAGGCCACAAUAAACUUUACCAGGAUGAAUGACAUUUAGAGACAUGACUGAUAUACACAGCCCAAGUAGUCUUUACUGGGGCAUAAACAGACAUGUGUACAAGUCUUGGCUCAACUGGACUGUCAAUUCUCAUUAACCUCCAAGUCCUGACACUCUCUUCUUUCUCUGCUUUCUGCCCACAUCCUUGCAACCUUUUAAGACAACAUAUGUCUUAGAGAAAAUGAGAACAUGAUUCUGAUAUUCAUUCCCACUCUAAAAUGAAAACAACAAAAAUACCAAAUAAACAAUAUUAUGUUUGGGCAAUUUGUGUGUAUAUGUGUAUGUAUGUGUUUACUUAAAAAUAUGGAAUAAUCGAACCUAUAUAAAAUUAAAUAGAAUAGCUUUACAAGUCUCCAUGUCUGUUCCCUCAGACUCAUCAAAGGUCACUUCAUGUCUAGAUCAAUCUUUACUCUCAAGCAGUCUGUUAAGGGCAGUUAUCCUCAUUUAAAAGAUUAGGCAAUUGGUAACUUGCUCAAAUUCACUAUUAAGAAAUAGUUUAGGGGGCUGGGGUUAUGGCUUAGUGGUAAAGUGCUCACCUACCAUGCGUGAGGCAUUGGGUGCGAUUAUCAGCACCACAUAAAAAUAUUGUGUCCACCUACAACUGAAAAAUAAACAUCAAAAAAAUAGUUUAGGGUUGUUGAACCCAAAGCUUGAAUUUCAGAAUUUCUAAUUUAUAAAAUGGUGAAAGAUGACCCAAGUAGUGCCCUUACGGAAGUAGACUCCAUUCUCUGUUAAGUCUGUGUUUUGCUGAUACUGAAGAAGAGUGAGGCACUGGAUAACAAACUCUGGAAUGAAAUAUAUUUGUGUCUGGAAAGCAGAUGGGAUUUGAGAGACGUAUGAUAUCCUUUAAAGGAGUAACUAAUUCUGUUUCUGCCAGUCCUCCUGGAAACUGUGUGGAAAAAAACAAGGAGAAUGUUUUAGAUGCCACAGUCAUACUACAAAGAAAAUCAAGAAAUAUUCAUUGCCAUGAGGAGAAGGCCAGACCCUGAAUGGAAGUUUAUGUGAGCAAAACUGAUAUAAAAAAGAGGUACUAAAAGGAGGCAUAUAGAUAUAAUGGCAAUUCAGCUAGUAAAACAGCUGGCUAUAUUUUUAAUAGCUUUAUUGGGGUACAAUUCCAUACUACAUAAUUAGCCCAUUAAGAGUGAACAAUUCAAUGGUUCUUAGUGUAUUUUUAUAUAUGUGCAACCAUCCUAAGUCAAUUUCAGAAUAUUGUCAUCAAUGCAAAAAGAAAACCUAUACCUUUUUUAGCUAUUAUUCCUCCUGUUACCCACCUAAACUUAAAUAAUGAAUUAUCUAGCUUUUUUUCUCUAUUGAUAACCACCCCAUAGCUUUUAACACAAAUGGAAUCAAUACAUGGACUCAUGAGUGGUUUCUUUCUUUUCUUUUCUUUUUAGAGAGAGAGAGAGAGAGAGAGAGAGAGAGAGAGAGAAUUUUUUAAUAUUUAUUUUU